CCACUACAGACAUACAACCGAAACUACAUCUAGAACUACAGAAGUUACACUGAAAACUGAAACAAACUAACGGUAAACAAGAAGUUUAUUAUAACAUAAGUUUGUGUCUCGUUCAUUUUUUGGUUUCGCAAAAAGUUGAGGGCUGGUCAGAGUUGAGCUGAAACCAGACCCUCAGAGCUGAGGCCAUGUAAAAUGGUCAUGGCAGUUGAACUAAUUCCAUGGAAUUCUUGUAAAGACAUCCGGACGUUCAACAAUAAAAGAUACAUAAGUACAUGUAUGUGCUGACAUGUUGAACCAAGUCAUUUUACAUUUAAUGCCUUUGGUCUUGUUCUUGGCAGAUUUUCUAUAAUGCUUUGGUAUUUUUGCUCGACUCAAGUGCCCGGUUUGGGCAACUAGAUGAUAUAAGUUCAUGUUGUGGAUAGGUGAUGGAUAAAAUGGUGCUAAUUACAGCAGUUCAAAGAUUCUUUUUAACACUACUGUAGCACUUCAAAUAAUGUUUUUGGGCGACAAUGUUUAUGCUUUUUUGUAUUACAAGUUACAAAAGUGUUGGACUUAUCAGUUGUGACCUACUUUGGUUCUGAGAAAGAGCUCCUCAAAUGCAUGUCACAUGUUUUUGCUUGAGCUGGCCUUAACUUCUAGUUCUGUUUGCACUCUAUGAUGGCAACGUGUUCUAGUGCAAGUCUACUAAUAUAUCAUCUUUAUUUUGGCUCUACAAUGGUUGCAAACUAGAAAUGUUCUCCACCUCAAACGUACUCCAUUCUUCCAUUUUUAUAGCUAUUUUAUUUUGUUCCUUGUUCACUCGCAACCCACUGUUAGUUCACUCGCAAACUGCAAUAGCGGCCACAACUAAGGGCAUUUGCUUCCAGCACAGGAGCUACAUGCUCGACGGUUGCGCACUGCCGCCAUGGACAUGCACAAAGAUAUUAAGUACAAGUGAAUGAAGCCGCGGUGCCAGCAGCCACCUGCGCUACAGAAAACAAGUGUUUGCAGUUUGCUCACCAGAAUGUUGAAUGAGACUACAUCAUUAUUACUCAAAAAAAUUCAUUUUGCAUUUGUUCAGAAUUGUUCUCUGUAUCCGUGGCAAAUAAUGUUUUUUUUUCUGGUUUAAUGCAAUACUCCUGUGGAAGCACUAAAACGCGCUACCUGUUGAACUGAUACUGAAGACAAGGAGCAGGACCAAGUGUGCUGGAA